AUGAUACUCCCUCCGUUCCGAAUUACUUGUCGCACGUAUGGAUGUAUCUAGAUGUAUUUUUGUUCUAGAUACAUCUAUUUCAGCGACAAGUAAUUUGGAACGGAGGGAGUACAUG
rnacentral:pre_miRNA from 1 species